GUUUCUGAAACGCAACGUGAUGUAGAUGCUGAAAAGAGACCAGCCCUGUGGAACAACGUAGAGAAGUUGUAAUUCUAUGCUUAAUUGUCUGCCUCUCUGAAAAUCCUGAGAAUCUCAUCAAGCACCAUCAGGAUACACAUGGGAAUAAGGAGGAACUGGAACUGCUCACACUUAAAAUCAUCAAGAAAGGUGGCUCAACAGAUGAUCCAUUACAGACUGGGAUAGUGCUGGAAGGCAUAGAGGUGAUGACGAGAUUGGCAGGUGUUGCGAAGACUUGUGUUUUUCUGCUUGCCCUAAUUUAAGCAAUUAAUCUGAGUUACCCCAAAGAGCUCAAUGAACAA